CCGCGGUAAUACGUAGGGGCAAGCGUUGUCCGGAUUUACUGGGUAUAAAGGGCGCGCAGGCGGGAUAGCGAGUCAGAGGUGAAAUCCUACAGCUUAACUGUAGAACUGCCUUUGAUACUGUUAUUCUUGAGUUCGGGAGAGAGAGACGGAAUUCCAGGUGUAGUGGUGAAAUACGUAGAUAUCUGGAAGAACACCAGUUGCGAAGGCAGUCUCUUGGUCCGAUACUGACGCUGAGGCGCGAAAGCGUGGG
rnacentral:rRNA from 1 species